GUGUUGGGCACAGACUUAUGCCCAAAUAACAUCUGGCAAUAUUUCUCCUGGUGUUAUGUGUUCCUACCUGAUGGAGCCAGGUUCUAUAGCUUUGGCCUGGCAGCCAUAUGCUGGGCUAUUUGGAAUAGCCGCAACCAGGCUACUUUUGAACACAAACAACUUAAGACACCGUUUAAUGUGGUAUACUCUGCCUGUGGCUUUUUGACAUAUUGGGCAGGCUUGAUGACUGGUGCUGACCGGGAGGCAAUGGAGCGUGGUGCCAAGAUGUUCAAGACGAACGCUUCUGCGAUGAUGCGGAUAUGUGCAGCUCCAGCCAGGGCGACGAUGGAUUGA
rnacentral:rRNA from 1 species